rnacentral:rRNA from 1 species
CCUACGGGAGGCAGCAGUGGGGAAUCUUCCGCAAUGGACGAAAGUCUGACGGAGCAACGCCGCGUGAGUGAUGACGGCCUUCGGGUUGUAAAGCUCUGUUAAUCGGGACGAAAGGUCUUCUUGCGAAUAGUUAGAAGAAUUGACGGUACCGGAAUAGAAAGCCACGGCUAACUACGUGCCAGCAGCCGCGGUAAUACGUAGGUGGCAAGCGUUGUCCGGAAUUAUUGGGCGUAAAGCGCGCGCAGGCGGAUCAGUCAGUCUGUCUUAAAAGUUCGGGGCUUAACCCCGUGAUGGGAUGGAAACUGCUGAUCUAGAGUAUCGGAGAGGAAAGUGGAAUUCCUAGUGUAGCGGUGAAAUGCGUAGAUAUUAGGAAGAACACCAGUGGCGAAGGCGACUUUCUGGACGAAAACUGACGCUGAGGCGC